rnacentral:rRNA from 1 species
GAUGAACGCUGGCGGCGUGCCUAAUACAUGCGAGUCGAGCGAACGGACGAGAAGCUUGCUUCUCUGAUGUUAGCGGCGGACGGGUGAGUAACACGUGGAUAACCUACCUAUAAGACUGGAAUAACUUCGGGAAACCGGAGCUAAUACCGGAUAAUAUUUUGAACCGCAUGGUUCAAAAGUGAAAGACGGUCUUGCUGUCACUUAUAGAUGGAUCCGCGCUGCAUUAGCUAGUUGGUAAGGUAACGGCUUACCAAGGCAACGAUGCAUAGCCGACCUGAGAGGGUGAUCGGCCACACUGGAACUGAGACACGGUCCAGACUCCUACGGGAGGCAGCAGUAGGGAAUCUUCCGCAAUGGGCGAAAGCCUGACGGAGCAACGCCGCGUGAGUGAUGAAGGUCUUCGGAUCGUAAAACUCUGUUAUUAGGGAAGAACAUAUGUGUAAGUAACUGUGCACAUCUUGACGGUACCUAAUCAGAAAGCCACGGCUAACUACGUG